rnacentral:lncRNA from 1 species
GCCAAUCCACUAAUUGCCAAUUGGUUUUGAGUUGGAAGCCCAUAAUAAACCCAAAUCUAACAUGGUAUCAGAGCGAUAAGAUCCUUUGACCUAAUUUACUACUACUACUACUACUGUACCGAUGUUGGGCCCUCUGUGGAUGUUAUUCCCACAUUGUCCACGCUUCAGACCUAGAUGUCUGAGCGUGAGGGAGGGUAUUGAUGAGAAACAUCCCACAUCGGAUAUAUAAGAAUUAAUCUACUACUAUAUAAAGGGUUAAGGCCAAUCCACUAAUUGCCAAUUGGUUUUAAGUUGGAAGCCCAUAAUAAACCCGAAUCUAACAUGGUAUCAGAGCGAUAAGAUCCUUUGACCUAAUUUACUACUACUACUACUACUGUACCGAUGUUGGGCCCUCUGUGGAUGUUAUUCCCACAUUGUCCACGCUUCAGACCUAGAUGUCUGAGCGUGAGGGAGGGUAUUGAUGAGAAACAUCCCACAUCGGAUAUAUAAGAAUUAAUCUACUACUAUAUAAAGGGUUA